UGGGGGAUAUUGCACAAUGGGCGAAAGCCUGAUGCAGCGACGCCGCGUGGGGGAUGAAGGCCUUCGGGUUGUAAACUUCUUUUGCUCUGAACAAGGCAUGCUAAUGGGUGUGUUGAGUGUAGGGGUUGAUUAGCGCCGGCUAACUACGUGCCAGCAGCCGCGGUAAUACGUAGGGCGCGAGCGUUGUCCGGAAUUAUUGGGCGUAACGGGCUUGUAGGUGGCUGGUUGCGUCUGUCGUGAAAGCUCAUGGCUUAACUGUGGGUUUGCGGGGGGUACGGGCUGGCUUGAGUGCAGUAGGGGAGGCUGGAAUUCCUGGUGUAGCGGUGGAAUGCGCAGAUAUCAGGAGGAAUACCGGUGGCGAAGGCGGGUCUCUGGGCUGUUACUGACACUGAGGAGCGAAAGCAUGGGGAGCGAACAGG
rnacentral:rRNA from 1 species